UCCCUGGAGGACUAGUGGUUAGGCCUCGGUGCUCUCACCACCACGGCCUGGGUUCGAUUCCCGGCCAGGGAU
rnacentral:tRNA from 1 species